GAUAACCCCGGGAAACUGGGUAUAAUACCCGAUAGGUCUCGAUUGCUGGGAUGCAUCGAGAUUUAAAGCUCCGGCGCCUAAGGAUGGGUCUGCGGCCUAUCAGGUAGUAGUGGGUGUAGCGUACCUACUAGCCUACGACGGGUACGGGUUGUGAGAGCAAGAGCCCGGAGAUGGAUUCUGAGACACGAAUCCAGGCCCUACGGGGUGCAGCAGGCGCGAAAACUUUACAAUGCUGGCAACAGCGAUAAGGGAACCUCGAGUGCCAGGUUACAAAUCUGGCUGUCGAGAUGCCUAAAAAGCAUUUCAUAGCAAGGGCCGGGCAAGACCGGUGCCAGCCGCCGCGGUAACACCGGCGGCUCGAGUGGUAACCGUUAUUAUUGGGUCUAAAGGGUCUGUAGCCGGCCGGAUAAGUCUCUUGAGAAAUCUGGCAGCUUAACUGUCAGGCUUUCAGGAGAUACUGUCUGGCUCGAGGCCGGGAGAGGUGAGAGGUACUUCAGGGGUAGGGGUGAAAUCUUGUAAUCCUUGAAGGACCACCAGUGGCGAAGGCGUCUCACCAGAACGGACCUGACGGCAAGGGACGAACGCUAGGGGCACGAACCGGAUUAGAUACCCGGGUAGUCCUAGCCGUAAACGAUACUCGCUAGGUGUCGGCCACGGUGCGACCGUUGUCGGUGCCGUAGGAAGCCGUGAAGCGAGCCACCUGGGAAGUACGGCCGCAAGGCUGAAACUUAAAGGAAUUGGCGGGGGGAGCACAACAACGGGUGGAGCUUGCGGUUUAUUGGAUUCAACGCCGGAAAUCUUACCGGGACCGACAGCAAUAUGAAGGCCAGGCUGAAGACUUUGGCCGGAUAGCUGAAAGGUGGUGCAU
rnacentral:rRNA from 1 species